rnacentral:rRNA from 1 species
CCUACGGGUGGCAGCAGUGGGGAAUAUUGCACAAUGGGGGAAACCCUGAUGCAGCGACGCCGCGUGAAGGAAGAAGUAUUUCGGUAUGUAAACUUCUAUCAGCAGGGAAGAAAAUGACGGUACCUGACUAAGAAGCCCCGGCUAACUACGUGCCAGCAGCCGCGGUAAUACGUAGGGGGCAAGCGUUAUCCGGAUUUACUGGGUGUAAAGGGAGCGUAGGCGGUUUAGCAAGUCAGAAGUGAAAGCCCGGGGCUCAACUCCGGGACUGCUUUUGAAACUGUUGAACUAGAGUGCAGGAGGGGUAAGUGGAAUUCCUAGUGUAGCGGUGAAAUGCGUAGAUAUUAGGAGGAACACCAGUGGCGAAGGCGGCUUACUGGACUGUAAAUGACGCUGAGGCUCGAAAGCGUGGGGAGCAAACAGGAUUAGAUACCCGUGUAGUC